UCACUUGCCGAAGCUAGACGCUUCAGUCCCGAGCUCUCGGACCCAGAUGGCAUCCACCUCGCCGGAACCCGCGGCGACCGAGACCGGCGACUCCGUCAAAAUCCGCCGCCUAGAGGUCGCCGACCGCGAGAGGGGCUUCCUAUCCCUCCUCUCCCAGCUCUCCUCCUGCCCGGACCUCACCGAGUCCGAGUUCGCCGCUUGUUUCGCCGACCUCGCGGCCCUCGGCGACGACCAUGUCAUCCUCGUGGCCGAGGACCCCGCCGCGGCUCCGGAGCGGAGGAUCCUCUCCACGGGGUGCCUCUUCGUGGAGCGCAAGUUCCUCCGCGGCGGCGGCAAGGUGGGGCACGUGGAGGACGUGGUGGUUGACGCCGCCGCGCGCGGCCGAGGGCUCGGGCUCCGCGUCGUGCGCCGCCUCGUGGAGAUGGCGAAGGAGGCCGGCUGCUACAAGGUCAUCCUGGACUGCACCCCCGAGCUGCGCGCCUACUACGCCAAAUGCGGCUUCGUGGAGAAGGGGGUUCAGAUGGCCGUGUACUUCUGACCCAUCCAUGGGGACCCAACCACAGGUUGAAUUUGCCAAAUUGGUACCUAAGACAUUGCAACUUACAAGUCAGUUCAACAUCUUUAGGAAAAGGUUACUGGAAACUAAUUUGUAGAUGAAGAGCUAUUAUCUUCACGAGGUAAUUCAUGGCUGACAGUCGAUCUAUCAAAGCUGAUCUGUGUUUUUGGGAUCCAUUCUGAAAAAAAUAGUGCUGCCAUGCGACGCAGCCCUUAACCUGGCUAAUUUUCCAGUACCACAAUGGUUCCUUGGAGCUAAAUUAUUUGUCAGAAGAUACAAACUUCUAUCACAGGCUGGUACUGUUGAGCUCUCAUUCCCCUGCAUUUGAAUCGGAUGUUAUACCACGCAUGUAAGAUGUUAUACCAAACAAUGGCCUUCUGAAUAACAUGCCAGCUAGUUUAGAGGUCGAUAUGAUUACCACACUUUGUGGACUCAUUUGCUUAGUGUAACUCAAUGAUAGACCAUGUGAAGCCACAAAGGGUCUCUUUGUGGACUUUAUUAAGCAUCUGGACAAUCUCAAGGUCACCUGGGCAGUAUUCUAGCCAGGCCGUGGUUCUAGCAUGAAGCCUCCCAAAGGAAGCUACUAGUUCAUGGGCUCAUGGCUAAACUUAUUUUGCUGCCUAGAAGUUCAUCCAAACAUGAGCAUUUCCUGUCUUUCGUUGAUUUUGAAAGAAAGCGUUAGUUUGCUGGAUGUUAGAUUGUUUGUCUCAGUUCCUGGAUGUUAAAUUGUUUGUCUCAGUUCCUAGAUUGCCGAAGAAGAGAUGGCAUUUGGUUGUACUCCUUCCGUUGCUAAAUGUCUUUUUAAAGAUUUUAUUAGAAGACUACAUAUGAAAAAAAAAUGAAUCUACACUAUAUACACACCCACUUGAGGGUCGGAGGGAGUAGAAGUUUGUUUUUGCAUGGUGUUUGUAGUACCCGGUGAUGAAAGAGGGGAAGAGAUCGCCAGCAUCGCAUAACAAUAUCCAUAUCGCCAAUGUACAUAUGAUUCAUCCACAUUGAGCUUACGCAUCCGACAUCAGAUUUUAUUCCAUAGAAAGUAUUCAGGGUCUUCACCAAACUGCUGCUCGGCUGGGCCUAAAGGGGCAUUGUAUACGACAUGUUUUGUUUCUAAACAUUUGCCACUUGAUUUAAGGAUAGCUGGCGAGAGGACACUUCAACCCUGUCCGGCGUGUCAAAGUCCCAAGCUGAGUCCUCACUUUCAACAAAUUGUGCACACAUCGAACAAAGCCGGGGGCAGCUUCAUCUGUUGCAACCCGCUCCUAGCCGAGAAGAAAAUGCUAUAGCCCACCAAUAUCAUAACAUUGCCAAAUCCUAAACAUGUUCCAUUAAUUUUAUGAUAUUAAACAGGCACAGGUCUCUCAAUUUCACUUCUUGAGUUCCUCUUCCACAUCAAGAAUCCUCCAAUAAACAAAAGCUAUUUAGUUCCUAGCAAGGAAUUCUUGACAGAGACAACAAUCGAGCAUCACAAGGAUGUGAAGAACGCCCAUUAACAUGACGCAAGUCAACAGCAA